GGUAGUCACACAAGGCAAAGGCAUGUUGGGGGUGGGGGGAGCGGACAUUGGAACACACACACACACACAUGCUCGCACACACAACCAGCCAGACAAUCGGGCCAGUGUGUCUGGGGCCUCGGAGCCCAGUGAAUUAGGAGUUUGAUAAGGGUUUUCUCUUUCUCUCGCUUGCCGGCCUUGGACAAUCUCCCCCCAGUUUUCCUCGACGCCACCCCCGGCGCUGCCAACCCUCCUCCCCCCGCCUCCCUUCUCUUCCCUGUGCCCAGACUCUUGUUCGGGGCCUUGAAACAGUGAGCUGUCUUUGUUCGAAAUACAGGUGAACGGCAAUCAUGUGAUUAACACACACACACAUAAAAAGCUUUUUAACAGCGCCCGCCCGGCCUCAGAACCGCCCAGAGAGGAGCCGCCCUGGAUGGACAGAGGGACGGAGGGACGCGCAUCCAGCCGGUUGCGUCCAGCUGCUCGCAGCAGUCUCCGACACUCGCUGCUGCCUGCCCGCUGCCCGCCUGCCUGGCAUCUCUCGAUCCCGGCAACACUGUGCAACAAGGAAGGGACUUCCACGGGAGGAAAUGUCCCUGUCGGCAGAAGGAGGCAAGUGGAGGCUGGUGGCCCUGGAACCCGGUCCAACCAGCCCCAGGACCUGAAGCCGUAAGAUGGAGAGGGGGGCCCUCCCACCGGCCGCCCCCACCCGGGCCACCUCCUUGCUCUGAGACAAGACAUCUUCCCACAUCCACCAUCUUGCUUGACCCGCACAACAGCCCCCGAGGCAGGAGUGACCCCCCUCCUUCCACAGGUGGAGACUGAGGUUCCGUGGGGGCUGCUGCCCACCCCUGCAGAGGCCCAGGGGCUUGGGGAGGAGACUUAGGUCGAUCACAGCAGCCCCAGCUACCCUGUCCGCAAUCACAGGAGCCAGAGCCCUGAGGAGGUUGUGUUCAGGUGCCUCAGAUGUCCGCUCUGUCCCCGUGUCUGCAGAGCCGUGAAACAGAGCUCCUCGCGGUGCUAGCAGUGGGCACUCGCCCGUAACCACGGAGCUGGGGCUGCGGCCUUCGGGCCACAGCGAGAAGAGGAGCCACAGUCCAGGAGGAGAGAGAACCCAGUAAAGAGCCAGCAUGCUGCACAACAGGACACCUGGGAGCUCACCACUAGCUGGGACAUUGAGGAAGGAAGGCUUCUCAGAGCAGGUGACCGAGGAUGGAACCUGAAAAGAUGAGGAUAAGUGAACUAGGCAAAGAAAUUGAGACGGAAGCUGGGAGGGGGGCUGGCAUACGGGGUGGGGCUGGGGCUGGGGAGAAGGUGAGUGGUGUGUGAUGGGGUAAAGGGGCCAUACCAGUGUGCCAGAGCAGAGUGGGGGCAGGGCAGGUGGGAGAGGUGGGCAGGGGAGGAACUGCGUGGGCUGCCGAGGGUAGUCGGGGAGCUCCGAGGACCUAGUGUGCCCCGAUACAGUGCAUGAACUAGAUCCUGAGGGCAGUGCAGGGGUCACUGGAGGAUUUUCAAGGGGUCAGAUUUGUGUUCUGGAAAGAUCAUAUGGGCUGGGUCUGUGCCAGUCUGGUUUAUUACCGUUUUCCCAGCACCCAGAUCAGUGCCUGGCAUACAGUAGGUGCUCAAUGAAUGUUUUAAAUCAAUACACGAAUACCAACAGUGUACCCUGAGGUAGUGGUUAACUCCAGUCAUAGGACCUUGGGCCUCAGCUCCCUCCUUUGUAAAACGAGGGUAACAACACCUGUCUCUUGGGGGUGCCGAAAUGGCGAAGGGAUGGAGCUUGACGCAGGGCUUUGCUCGGUGUCCUGCAUGAGGUCCGUGCUCCAUUACUGCUCCCUUUCUGCUACGUGCACAGGACGCACCGUGGGCGAGGCUGUGGGCGAGACGGAGGCAGGGAGCAGGAAACCGAGGUGCAGAGAGGUGAAGUGAUUUGCCCAAGGCCCCAAGGCUGGGAGGACACGGAGCCACAGGGUAAGCACAGGACAGGGCCCUGCCUGGCGGCCACGCACCACAAGACACGGGGACGCCAACUGGACUCCGUUACUGCCACCUCGACCAAGUACAAGGGGAGGCCGAUUUCCAUGGCGAUUUGUUAAAGCAAACUCUGUAUAAACAGUUUAUACAAAGAUAUAGAGUAUGACCACCGGCUACCCCCUUCAUGCUCAGCGGUCGGGGACUGUCACGGUCCUGGGACAGAGUCUGAUGCAGCCAUUAAAAAUGAUGUUUAGGGGGUGCCUAACAUCAGUCCCUUGAGCUCAGUCCCUUGAGCAUCUGGCUCUUGAUUUCGGCUCAGGUCAUGACCUCAGGGUCAUGGCAUCGAGCCCCGAGUGGGCUCCGAGCUCAGCAGGGAGUCUGCUUGAGGUUCUCUCUCCCUCUGCCCCUCCCCCAA